rnacentral:rRNA from 1 species
AACGAACGCUGGCGGCAUGCCUAACACAUGCCAGUCGAACGAGACCUUCGGGUCUAGUGGCGCACGGGUGCGUAACGCGUGGGAACCUGCCUUUAGGUUCGGAAUAACUCAGAGAAAUUUGAGCUAAUACCGGAUGAUGUCUUCGGACCAAAGAUUUAUCGCCUUUAGAUGGGCCCGCGUUGGAUUAGCUAGUUGGUGGGGUAAAGGCCUACCAAGGCGACGAUCCAUAGCUGGUCUGAGAGGAUGAUCAGCCACACUGGGACUGAGACACGGCCCAGACUCCUACGGGAGGCAGCAGCGGGGAAUAGUGGACAAUGGGCGAAAGCCUGAUCCAGCAAUGCCGCGUGAGUGAUGAAGGCCUUAGGGUUGUAAAGCUCUUUUACCCGAGAUGAUAAUGACAGUAUCGGGAGAAUAAGCUCCGGCUAACUCCG